rnacentral:ncRNA from 1 species
GGAAAGUUUUAUUUUGGCUUGGUGAUUAAUUGUGAGAUUGAUAUAUAUAUAUGAUUUAUGUUUUAGAUAAAAAUUUAGUAGUAUAUAAUUUUAAGUUUUAAUUUUGGUUAGAUUUAGCAAUUUUUUUUUAGUAUAAACAGAAUUUGUGCCAGCAGUAGCGGUUAUACAAAUUAUGCUAGUUAAUUUUUUCAGGUUGAAUUAGAAGUUUAAUUUUGGAUUUAUAUGAGAGAUUUUAAGGUGAAAUUUAAUUUUCUUUUAAGUCUAAUAUUUAUUUUGAGGUUUAGAAAUUUUUAUUUUAAACUAGGAUUAGAUACCCUAUUAUUUUAAAUGUUAUUUUGUGCUUGGAUUAUUAUUAGUUAGGAUCUAUAAAAUUAAAAAAUUUGGCGGUAUUUUAGUCUGUUCAGAGGAACCUGUUUUUUAAUUGAUAGUCCACGAUAAUUGGUACUUUAGUUUUAAAUUUAUAUAUCGUCGUUUGUAAAAAUUUUAGUAGGAUUAUAAUUUUUUGGAUUUUUAAUUAAAUAUUAUUUCAGAUCAAGGUGUAGUUUAUAUUGAAGAUAGAAUGGGUUACAUUAAAUUUAUUUAUAGUUUCAAUUUUUAAAAUUUUGGGUAAAUUGGAUUUGAUAGUAAAUUGUUUAUUUAUGAUAGUUGAUUUAGCUCUAAAAUAUGCACAUAUCGCCCGUCGCUUUCAUUAUAAGAUGAAAUAAGUCGUAACAAAGUAGGCUUAUUGGAAAAUGAGCCUGGAAUGAU